rnacentral:rRNA from 1 species
AAUCAACGCUGGCGGCGUGCCUCAGACAUGCAAGUCGAACGCGAAAGUCCCCUUCGGGGGACAAGUAGAGUGGCGCACGGGUGAGUAACACGUAGGUAAUCUACCUUCGGAUGGGGAAUAACAAUCGGAAACGGUUGCUAAUACCGCAUAAUGCAGCGGCACCUAAUGGUGACAGUUGUUAAAGCGGGGGAUCGAAAGGCCUCGCGUCUGAAGAGGAGCCUGCGGCGGAUUAGCAGUUGGUAAGGUAAUGGCUUACCAAGGCGACGAUCCGUAACCGGCCUGAGAGGGCGGUCGGUCACACUGACACUGACAUACGGGUCAGACUCCUACGGGAGGCAGCAGUCGGGAAUUGUUCGCAAUGGGCGCAAGCCUGACGACGCAACGCCGCGUGGAGGACGAAGGC